UACAGAGGGUGCAAGCGUUAAUCGGAGUUACUGGGCGUAAAGGGCGCGUAGGCGGUACAUUGAGUGAGUUGUGAAACCCCUGGGCUUAACCUAGGACGUGCAACUUAUACUGGUGUACUAGAGUACUGUAGAGGGUAGUGGAAUUUCCGGUGUAGCGGUGAAAUGCGUAGAGAUCGGAAGGAACACCAGUGGCGAAGGCGGCUACCUGGACAGAUACUGACGCUGAGGCGCGAAAGCGUGGGGAGCAAACAGG
rnacentral:rRNA from 1 species